GAUGAACGCUGGCGGCGUGCUUAACACAUGCAAGUCGAACGAACGACUAUUAACAGAACCUUUCGGGGCGAAGAUGAUAGAAGUUAGUGGCGGACGGGUGCGUAACGCGUGGGUAAUCUGCCUUUGUCAAAGGAAUAACUAUUCGAAAGAAUAGCUAAAACCGUAUAACAUAUUAAUAGGGCAUCCUAAUAAUAUCAAAACGAUAGUGGACAAAGAUGAGCCCGCGUCUGAUUAGCUAGUUGGUGAGAUAAAAGCCCACCAAGGCAACGAUCAGUAGCCGACCUGAGAGGGUGAACGGCCACAUUGGAACUGAGACACGGUCCAAACUCCUACGGGAGGCAGCAGUGGGGAAUAUUGCACAAUGGGGGGAACCCUGAUGCAGCAACGCCGCGUGAGUGAAGAAGGCAUUCGUGUCGUAAAACUCUGUAGUAGGGGAAGAAAGAAAUGACAGACCCUAAAAGAAGGCCCCG
rnacentral:rRNA from 1 species